GCUAUUAUGGAUAAAAAGAAAGAUAGAAUUGAAGACAGGGGCUCAUUCACUUUGGUAUAUGGCUUGUGAUACCUGUAGUUGGAUAUCUUUCGAUGAACUCAAUGAAAUGUAUUUUUGCAACUAUUGCAAAUACAUGCAUGCAAGAGCAAUUUCAAGAGCAAGAUGUAAUGUUCAGCUUUCAGAUAACACCGGCACUAUUACUACAUCUUUAUUUGGUGAUGUGGCUGAAAAUUUCUUGAAACUUCCAGCUGUGAAACUAAUGAAAGAUAAUAUAACGGUAAAAUUUUCUGUAUAAAUUGUUACAUUUACCAGCAUUUUCCAUUUACGUACAUAUGUACAUUAAAUCUUAUAUGUUCAAACACUUUAUCAAUGCUCAAGAGUCCAGCUAUGCAAUUGAAGACCAUUUUAUUUACUUGAAAUUUGAAAACCCAGAUCCAAAAACCAAUCAACCAAGGUUUGAUGUAAUCCAUGUUCUUAAUAACAACUUUGCACAUGCACAAAGAUCUGCAUCAUUGUUUCCGUAUUAGGCUAAGGAAAAAAAUGUCUCAUAUUAAACCAAUGUACCUAAUGCACGAAGGAGCCUGGUGUUUGAGAAGGAAAACAUCAAACAACUGGAAAAGCAAAAAAUGGUAACAUCUAGCGAUCCUAAUGUUCAAAACAACGAUGCAAAUCCUCUCAGCAACAGUGCCGAUCCAAAGAAAAAUUGACUUUACCAUACCUUUAACAGUUCAAGUGCAACUAAAGUUAGUUCCAUUUUGUUAUUUUGAAGUCCUUUUGUUUUUUGCUAGAAGAUUUUUGUAUAUGGUAUCAUAUUACACUGCUGGAACAUGUCAUAAAGUUCAGCUUAGUUUUUGGAAACUUCAUUCUUAUUAAUGAACUGGGAUAGGUAUGCUAAAUGUUAUAUAAAUAAAGUCGACGUAUCUAUGAAAUCUAAUUAUUCACAUCUUUUCGUAA